AUUGAACGCUGGCGGCAGGCCUAACACAUGCAAGUCGAGCGGAUGAAGGGAGCUUGCUCCUGGAUUCAGCGGCGGACGGGUGAGUAAUGCCUAGGAAUCUGCCUGGUAGUGGGGGAUAACGUCCGGAAACGGGCGCUAAUACCGCAUACGUCCUGAGGGAGAAAGUGGGGGAUCUUCGGACCUCACGCUAUCAGAUGAGCCUAGGUCGGAUUAGCUAGUUGGUGGGGUAAAGGCCUACCAAGGCGACGAUCCGUAACUGGUCUGAGAGGAUGAUCAGUCACACUGGAACUGAGACACGGCCCAGACUCCUACGGGAGGCGGCAGUGGGGAAUAUUGGACAAUGGGCGAAAGCCUGAUCCAGCCAUGCCGCGUGUGUGAAGAAGGUCUUCGGAUUGUAAAGCACUUUAAGUUGGGAGGAAGGGCAGUAAGUUAAUACCUUGCUGUUUUGACGUUACCAACAGAAUAAGCACCGGCUAACUUCGUG
rnacentral:rRNA from 1 species